rnacentral:sRNA from 1 species
UGAAGUACAUGCGAGAAGCCACGCCCUAUGUGAAGAAAGGAUCCCCAGUAUCCGAGAUUGGGUGGGAAACACCUCCGCCUGAAUCCCCUCGGUUAGGGGGCAGCACCUCAGACCCCCCGUCAUCGCAGUCCUUCUCCUUCCACAGAGACCGGAAAAGCAUCCCCCUCAAAAUGUGCUACGUCACUCGGAGUAUGGCCUUGGCCGACCCUGAGAACAGCCAUAGGAAUCACAGAUUUGAGGAACUGAAAGCGACCAUAAUGAUCAUGUGGUUUGAAUUCUCCUGGAUUCCCCGAAGUUGCUGCAAGCCAGCAAGACUUCAUCCUCCUGACUAGUUUCAUCUGUGUUUUCUCCAGAGUCACUUGGAGGGGAAAGGCAGCUUGAAAUCCACUCUCCAGAUGCUAAGCACACGGUGAU